rnacentral:rRNA from 1 species
UACGAAGGGGGCUAGCGUUGUUCGGAAUUACUGGGCGUAAAGGGCGCGUAGGCUGUGCUGUAAGUCAGGCGUGAAAGGCCCGGGCUCAACCUGGGAACUGCGCUUGAUACUGCGGCGCUUGAAGACGGGAGAGGAUGGCGGAAUUCCCAGUGUAGAGGUGAAAUUCGUAGAUAUUGGGAAGAACACCGGUGGCGAAGGCGGCCAUCUGGCCUGUUCUUGACGCUGAGGCGCGAAAGCUAGGGGAGCAAACGGG